GGAACAACAGCGUAGUUGGAUGUCGCGUCUAUGUAAACCUGUUUGACAGAAAGCCUCCAGUUCGAAUCUGGGUUGUUUCA